AGGCGCGUAUCCGUGUGAUUUCCGCCCGAGAGGGAGCCCGGCGAUGCGGGCGCCAAGGCAGCGCAGAGCUUGCCAAGAAAGAAAUCCUGCGCGCCCGCCGCCGCCUCCUCCUCUUCCUCCUCCUCCUCCAGGCUUCUUCGGGGAAGCCAGAUGGGCGGAAAGCCUCUCGGGCUGCCCCAGACCAAGAAGGGGAGGAGGGGAGGCCAGGAUCGACCCCCCGCCUCCCCUCAGGCACCCGUUGCUGGGGUGCAGUAGGAGAAAAUCGAGCGGAGAAUCGAGCAGCCAAGAAAGCGGAAAGCGAAGCACGCUGGCAAGCCGCUGCCUCGCCCGGCUUUCGCCUGCCCUCCCUUACCUGAAGACCGCCUCUUCCUUGAACUCCUUGCCGGGGGAAACCAAGCCGUUCUUUUUGUUGAAAAGCUUCUGCAACAAGGCAAACUGAAGAGCUGACUUUUAUUGUUCUAUAAAGUAAGGACUUUUGAUAGGAACAAACUCUCUCAUUAGCAAUUUUGUGUUAUGUAAGAU